rnacentral:lncRNA from 1 species
UGGCCGCUCAGGAGGCCGUGGCUGGGAAGGUGGGUGGCGGGCUUUGCCCAGGGGUUGGGGAUAAGGACGUCUGCGGCUAGCGGUUUGGCCUACACGUACAGGCGAUGCCAGGGAGGGAGGCGCACACACCGUGGGGUCGGGCGGCUGUGCGCUCUCGGCCCGGCUCCGUGGCACCGGCGGGGAAUCCGCCCGGGCCGCCCCGCCUCCAGCCGGUCCUCCUCGCCGCAGGUGCCGGUGGACAGCGUGGAAGAGGCGGAGCAGACCCUCGCGGCCCCCGCGGAGCUGGCCGCCCAGAAGCGCGAACAGAGGCUGCGCAAAUUCCGGGAGCUGCACCUGAAGCGGAAUGAAGCUCGAAAGUUAAAUCACCAGAAGUUGUGGAGGAAGAUAAAAGACUUAAACUACUUGCAAAGUGGGAGGCUAAAAAAGCUCGUCUGGAAUGGGAGCUGCAGGAAGAAGAAAAGAAAAAAUGGAGAGGAGUUCUACCCAACAUCCAACAGUCUUCUUCAUGGAACCCAUGUGCCCUCCACAGAGGAAAUUGAUAGGAUGGUCAUAGACUGGGAAAAGCAAAUUGAAAAAUGA